UGAAGGACGUUACUAACGACGAUAUGCUUUGGGGAGCUGUAAGUAAGCUUUGAUCCAGAGAUUUCCGAAUGGGGAAACCCAGCAUGAGUUAUGUCAUGUUAUCGAUAUGUGAAUACAUAGCAUAUCAGAAGGCACACCCGGAGAACUGAAACAUCUUAGUACCCGGAGGAAGAGAAAGAAAAUUCGAUUCCCUUAGUAGCGGCGAGCGAAACGGGAAGAGCCCAAACCAACAAGCUUGCUUGUUGGGGUUGUAGGACACUCUAUACGGAGUUACAAAGGACGACAUUAGACGAAUCAUCUGGAAAGAUGAAUCAAAGAAGGUAAUAAUCCUGUAGUCGAAAAUGUUGUCUCUCUUGAGUGGAUCCUGAGUACGACGGAGCACGUGAAAUUCCGUCGGAAUCUGGGAGGACCAUCUCCUAAGGCUAAAUACUCUCUAGUGACCGAUAGUGAACCAGUACCGUGAGGGAAAGGUGAAAAGCACCCCGGAAGGGGAGUGAAAUAGAACCUGAAACCGUGUGCUUACAAGUAGUCAGAGCCCGUUAAUGGGUGAUGGCGUGCCUUUUGUAGAAUGAACCGGCGAGUUACGAUUUGAUGCAAGGUUAAGCAGUAAAUGUGGAGCCGUAGCGAAAGCGAGUCUGAAUAGGGCGUUUAGUAUUUGGUCGUAGACCCGAAACCAGGUGAUCUACCCUUGGUCAGGUUGAAGUUCAGGUAACACUGAAUGGAGGACCGAACCGACUUACGUUGAAAAGUGAGCGGAUGAACUGAGGGUAGCGGAGAAAUUCCAAUCGAACCUGGAGAUAGCUGGUUCUCUCCGAAAUAGCUUUAGGGCUAGCCUCAAGUGAUGAUUAUUGGAGGUAGAGCACUGUUUGGACGAGGGGCCCCUCUCGGGUUACCGAAUUCAGACAAACUCCGAAUGCCAAUUAAUUUAACUUGGGAGUCAGAACAUGGGUGAUAAGGUCCGUGUUCGAAAGGGAAACAGCCCAGACCACCAGCUAAGGUCCCAAAAUAUAUGUUAAGUGGAAAAGGAUGUGGCGUUGCCCAGACAACUAGGAUGUUGGCUUAGAAGCAGCCAUCAUUUAAAGAGUGCGUAAUAGCUCACUAGUCGAGUGACACUGCGCCGAAAAUGUACCGGGGCUAAACAUAUUACCGAAGCUGUGGAUUGUCCUUUGGACAAUGGUAGGAGAGCGUUCUAAGGGCGUUGAAGCAUGAUCGUAAGGACAUGUGGAGCGCUUAGAAGUGAGAAUGCCGGUGUGAGUAGCGAAAGACGGGUGAGAAUCCCGUCCACCGAUUGACUAAGGUUUCCAGAGGAAGGCUCGUCCGCUCUGGGUUAGUCGGGUCCUAAGCUGAGGCCGACAGGCGUAGGCGAUGGAUAACAGGUUGAUAUUCCUGUACCACCUAUAAUCGUUUUAAUCGAUGGGGGGACGCAGUAGGAUAGGCGAAGCGUGCGAUUGGAUUGCACGUCUAAGCAGUAAGGCUGAGUAUUAGGCAAAUCCGGUACUCGUUAAGGCUGAGCUGUGAUGGGGAGAAGACAUUGAGUCUUCGAGUCGUUGAUUUCACACUGCCGAGAAAAGCCUCUAGAUAGAAAAUAGGUGCCCGUACCGCAAACCGACACAGGUAGUCAAGAUGAGAAUUCUAAGGUGAGCGAGCGAACUCUCGUUAAGGAACUCGGCAAAAUGACCCCGUAACUUCGGGAGAAGGGGUGCUCUUUAGGGUUAACGCCCAGAAGAGCCGCAGUGAAUAGGCCCAAGCGACUGUUUAUCAAAAACACAGGUCUCUGCUAAACCGUAAGGUGAUGUAUAGGGGCUGACGCCUGCCCGGUGCUGGAAGGUUAAGAGGAGUGGUUAGCUUCUGCGAAGCUACGAAUCGAAGCCCCAGUAAACGGCGGCCGUAACUAUAACGGUCCUAAGGUAGCGAAAUUCCUUGUCGGGUAAGUUCCGACCCGCACGAAAGGCGUAACGAUUUGGGCACUGUCUCAACGAGAGACUCGGUGAAAUCAUAGUACCUGUGAAGAUGCAGGUUACCCGCGACAGGACGGAAAGACCCCGUGGAGCUUUACUGUAGCCUGAUAUUGAAAUUCGGCACAGCUUGUACAGGAUAGGUAGGAGCCUUUGAAACGUGAGCGCUAGCUUACGUGGAGGCGCUGGUGGGAUACUACCCUAGCUGUGUUGGCUUUCUAACCCGCACCACUUAUCGUGGUGGGAGACAGUGUCA
rnacentral:rRNA from 1 species